rnacentral:rRNA from 1 species
GACGAACGCUGGCGGCGUGCCUAAUACAUGCAAGUAGAACGCUGAAGGAGGAGCUUGCUUCUCUGGAUGAGUUGCGAACGGGUGAGUAACGCGUAGGAACCUGCCUGGUAGCGGGGGAUAACUAUUGGAAACGAUAGCUAAUACCGCAUAAUAGUAGAUGUUGCAUGACAUUUGCUUAAAAGGUGCAAUUGCAUCACUACCAGAUGGACCUGCGUUGUAUUAGCUAGUUGGUGGGGUAACGGCUCACCAAGGCGACGAUACAUAGCCGACCUGAGAGGGUGAUCGGCCACACUGGGACUGAGACACGGCCCAGACUCCUACGGGAGGCAGCAGUAGGGAAUCUUCGGCAAUGGACGGAAGUCUGACCGAGCAACGCCGCGUGAGUGAAGAAGGUUUUCGGAUCGUAAAGCUCUGUUGUAAGAGAAGAACGAGUGUGAGAGUGGAAAGUUCACACUGUGACGGUAUCUUACCAGAAAGGGACGGCUAACUACGUG